GAGAGAGAGAGAGAGAGAGAGAGAGAGAGAGAGACGCAAAAAGGACGGGGAGGAGGCAGAGGGAGGGAGCAAACCUCUGUCACUCACUAGAACCACUGCCAUCAUAUUGGGGUCUGGGAGAGCUCCAAGUCGUUAAAUCGUGUUCUGCAGGAAGUUGAGCCAGAGAGAGACCACGAGAGGCACUGAGAAUCAGGGCUCUGCUAUCCUGUCAGCAAAUCCUCCAGCUGUUGACUGCAUCAGAUCAAGACCUCUCCACCACAGUUCUACUCUAACCCUCUGGGUUCUCUUUCCCUCCUUCCACAUCAGACCUGAUUAUGGCUACGCUCUGAAGAAGGAAGUUGCCAUGACAAGCCUCACCUCCCAUCUUCUUCUGGCAUGAAGCUAUGGCUUCCCAUACCUGUCAUGGCCUUCAUAAGACAAGGAGAAUGAAGAACAUGGAAAACAAAAUGUGGAAAACCACAAUCAUCCCCAUUUGGGCCUCAAGCCUUCUCAGUACUCUUUCUUCAAGACACCUGAAGCUUGAAUUAUGCAUAGUUUGAUCAUAAGAUAUUGUCUCCAGGUCUUAUCAUUAUAAGGAGUAAGAACCGAAACUUGAACCUUAUUUCACCCAGACUCAUUUUACUGAUUAAGAAACUGAAACUUGGAAAUAAGUACUGAUUUACUCAAGGUCAUGCAGGAAAUUUAAGUCCUCCAUCUCUGAACCUAGAGUUUUCUCCAUUCCAUACUGCUCUCAUUUAUUCAGCCAGGAAGUCCAUAUCAGCACUGCCUGGUUAGGAUCCAUUACUCUAUCUCUUGAUUUAAUUAGGAUCCAUUACUCUAUCUCUUGAUUUAAUUAGGAAAAGAAAUCUAAUGAAUCAUUAAAGCCUUAAUGGGUAUGGAUAUUUAAAUAAAAAGACACCAUCUAUUGAUGAGCCUGCUCAAGGAAAUCUGAUCCCAGAAACUUUGCUGUGUUGUGGUUUUAAAAGUUGGAGGUCCCAGAUGGAUGCUGACAGCCAAGACUCAAACUGGCACCAGGUUUUGAUUGGCCUGGUGCUCAUAUUCCUAAUCCUCAUCACAGUCCUGGGUAAUGUGGUGGUGUGCCUGGCUGUGGGGCUGAACCGCAGGCUCCGGAGCCUCACCAACUGCUUCAUUGUGUCCUUGGCCAUCACCGACCUCCUCCUGGGCCUCCUGGUGCUCCCAUUCUCUGCUGCUUGUGAGCUGGGCCAGACAUGCAACUUUGAAGAGCCCCUUUGUAAAAUUUACACCAGCCUGGAUGUGAUGCUCUGCACUGCCUCCAUCCUCAACCUCUUCAUGAUCAGCCUGGACCGCUACUACGCCAUCACCGCUCCGCUGCGCUACACCAUGGUGGUAACGCCUAAGCGGGUGGCCAUUGCUCUGAUCUUCAUCUGGAUGAUCUCCAUCACGUUCUCCUUCUUGCCUAUCCACUUAGAGUGGAACACCCAAAACAUCACUAACUCGAACUUGACUCCCAGUAAAUGCAAACUGCAGGUCAACAAGGCCUACGGCCUGGUAGACGGCCUGGUCACUUUCUACAUCCCCCUGCUGGUGAUGUGUGCCACCUACUAUCGCAUUUUCAAAAUUGCCCGUGAACAAGCCAAGAGAAUUAACCACAGCUACUACAACAAGGCUGUCACCAUCCGCGAGCACAAAGCCACCGUCACCUUGGCAGUUGUGAUGGGGGCUUUUAUCAUCUGCUGGUUUCCCUACUUCACGGUGUUUGUUUACCGAGGAAUAUGGGGUGACAUCAAUGAGACCUGUGAAACCAUCGUCCUGUGGCUUGGCUAUGUCAACUCAGCUCUGAACCCCAUCCUGUAUGCGGCUCUGAACAGGGACUUCCGCACGGCGUACCAGUGCCUCUUCUGUUGCAGGGGCAGGGGUAUCACUUCCAGGGGGUCCUCCCUGUCUCCUAGCACCUCCCGCCAAUCCCAGAACCAGUCUCACCAAGUCACCCUAGGACUCCAGGAAGAGACCUCUCUGAGACUUCCAGUGCAGAACGGAAGCGAAGCCCCGUUCCCCCAGGAGCCAGAUAAUUUGGAAACUUCAAGUUUGGCUGGCCAGAGCUCUGGACAGUUUCCUAAGUCCCCAUGAUUCCGGUUGUAGAAAAUCCCAGUCCUUUCCUAUUUCGAUUGAAGUUAAGGCCAUGCUUACACUUACAACUGGAAACAGGAAAGGCAGAAGCAGGGCUCUUUGGAAGCCUUUUCUGGCCUAUACUUCCAACUCUAGAAUCAUCCUCACCUGCUGGAAAAAUGUGUGAGACUUGAAGUUCCUCAGGAAGCAAGUGGAGGAAUCUGAGGGAGGAUUUUCUGACACACUGAGAACACCACCAACCCAGAUCACUCAGGACAUCACUUCUCAGACCACUGAGGACAUCAUUAACCAAGACAUGUUGGAAACCAUCCCUGCCAACGAGGGCAGCAUUCCCAAAAUCAGCCAGGUUACUAAGGACACCAUCCCCAGGUCCAUAAGGCCAUCUUGCUACUCUCAAUUCAUUGAGUACAUUAUUUUCCUCUUCAUUGUUGACUUUUAUUUCCUAUGAUCUGAUCAGGAAAUAUUCAAGACAAGGCCAUAUGUCAGUCUGGGAGAAAAAUAAUUCAGGAGUUUUCAAACUAUGAGAUCAAAGAACAUGAAUUUAAAUUCCUGGAUGUCAGAAAACUGUUUAUGAGUCUCCCCUUAUUGAGAAAUAAGUCUCCAAACAUAAGUGCGUGCACACUUGUGCAUAUGUGACUCCUGGCUGAGACAGAGAAAGAAUUCACUCAUUAAAAACCUUGUCAAUCAUUUGGGAAAUUAAGAUCCCAAGAGAAGGAAGCAAAAAAAAAAAAAAAAAAAAAAAAAAAAAAAAAAAAAAAAAAUGUUCCUUUAAUCUUCAUUCAGCCAGGAUUAGAGCUACAGAGGCACCUGUAGGUCACUGAAAUACCUUCCCUUAUCCUCCCCACUGAAAUCUAUGGCCCAGCUCACCUCAUAUCCAACCACAGCUUAAAGCAAAGAAGUCACACCUCCUUUUAUCUCAUUUAGGCUGAGGAGAUCCCACCUUAUAAUAGUCCAACCAAGAAGGGUCCUCUAAGGAGCUUUUGAUCCUGAAAGACACACACACACACACACACACACACAUACACACACACACACAUACACACUGAGAAUUGUGAAUUCAGAAAUGUUCAAUAGACUGAGCACAGUCUCAGGGAGAAAGUGGGUAAGGUAAGGAGACUGACAGAAGGUAAGAGGGUCAAAAGGAGUAUGAGAAGAGGAUAUGAAGUGAGGGAUGUGAGGGGAAAGAAGGGAAAUAAGCACUUAUGUGGUGUGUUCUGUGUGCCAGGAACGAUGCCAAACACUCUACUUUUGAAAAAAUGAAGUAGCAGGCUUAGAAGUGGAGAAGGAAGGGAACACAAGAAGGAAGGUGUGAGAGGGAAGAUUGGGAGGAGGUGUAACAGUUCAGGAAUGAAGAGCAUCUGAGAUAUGACAAGGGAGUUUAGGCAUGGGGAAAUAAAACAGAGUAAAAGUUAUAAGUAAUAUGAAGGCAAGGAGAAGCAGGGGGAAAGGAAAUAAGGAGAAUAUAAAAUGAAACAUGAAGGGAAUAGAUAAGAAAUGGUAGAUUGAGGAACUCAGAGUCUAGAAAGUGAGUUGAAAACAUGGCGCUAAGGGACUAACACUACCCAAGUCUCCUUUAUAUUCUUAUAGAUCCUCCUUAAACUCUUGCAGUUUUUAACUUCUGCAAAGGGAAGAUUCUCUUCCUCUCCAAGUAACACAUAUACACACACACUACCACCACCACCACCACCACUACCAACAACAGUCUUUCACAUGUGCUGAAUUUUAUAAGAAAACUUUUCUAAAAUAAAGGGGAAGGACAAGGGAGGCUCUGAUGGAAAGUGUUUUUAUAAGGAGAAGUCCCACAGGAAAUGUGGAUUCAGUUUCCAAACACUGAUUAAAACUGAAGACUGAGCAAGCUGUGCAUCAAAUGGGCCAUGUGCUCAAAAAUUCUCCUUUGUUUCCUCUCUCCUAGUCCCUUCAACUUUCCUCACUCACCCAAUUGACAGAAUUAAUGAAACUUCUGAGAAAAGGCACUUUAAAAAAAAAAUGGAAAACUUGCCUGAUGAGAACAGAAAAAUCUGCAAAUAUGGCAGGCCAAGAAUGAUUAAGAAAACAGAUCAUCUUUGAGAAGAGCACUGACCUAGGAGACAUGAAAUUCCCAGGCUCCAACCAGGACACUGAAGCUAACUUGAUCCAUGAUUUAUAGUCUUUCUUCCUGGAACCUCAUCUCCCACAUCUGUAAAAGGCAGGAAGGGAUGGAGAGAGGUAUUGACCUAGAUAUUCUAAGGUCUCUUCCCUUCUCCUGGUCUCAGUUUCCUCUUCUUUAAAAUUAAGGAGGCUGGACUCCAUUAAGAACCCUCUCAGGACUAACAUUCCAUGGAAAAAAAAACAGAAAUGAAGAAGGUCUUCUGAGCCAGAGAGCAUUGAGACCACCUCCAGGAAACCUGACACUAAUGACCUUUCCUCUGACAACCUCACAGAGCACUUGGUUUGCACUUCUCUGAUGCAUGUAUUCUUGUGUAUUAUACCUAUGUGUAUCGGUAUCUUAUCUCCUAAGAGUUCCUUGAGAACAGGAACCACACCUUUCAUAAACUUUAAAUCUUCUCAAGCAACAAACACAAGACUCUGCACACAGUAGGUGCUUGAUAAAUGUUUGUUGAAUUAAUAUUAUUGAAAUCUAUCAAGGGUCAGUAUUACUUAGGUCUAUUUGAACUUAAGGAGAUAGAAAAAGAUUCCAUUUUUUUUCAUCUAUUACUAAAAGAGACUUCUAGGCACCAAUUAUGUUUUAAAGAUGACACUUUUAAAAAAUCUGAGGAAUGAAUGAAUGCCCAGAUCCAAAGCCCUAAAAGUCUCAAAGUAACCAAGGUAGAUAAAAUACGGGCUUUGGAUGCCAAAGCAGUCUGCAAACCACAUAGACACCAUUAGAAAGCUGAAAAGGAGCAAAGCUAAAGACAAAAGUGAAAGUUUGACCAAGUAUGAGAAAUGAGGCCAGUGAUUAAAAUGAGCUUAAAGUGAAAGAGAAGGUGACAACAUGAGCUUGUGUUUGUGCUUCUUUGAAAUCGUGUUUCUUGUUGUGUCUCAAUGUUGAGCCCACCUUGUAUCAUGAGUAAUUAACUAACUUAUGUUGUUAUUUUAAUAAAGAGUUUAUUUUUGUAGAAAACA